AAGGUGACCCUCGAAAAGUGCUUCAGAAACCGAACUUCGCUCCACAGCCUCCGAACAAACAGACAUUCAGUUCAUAAAAAAGAAAGACUUAUAUAGAGGAUUUAAAACCUCUGUUCGGAAUAGUCCGCACUGCAAGGCUAUUCAAAUUCGCAACGUGUAAUGACGAACUACUGUCUCCGAGGCGUAUGUAGAUAUUCGGCCGGCGUAAUAAUACUUUUCGCCUCGAGAGGUGCCACGGUUGAAGCGUCAUCAGAAGGAACGAAUCAGCUAACUGCUAUGUCAGCUGAGAUGAGGAGUAAACGGAAGUAGCAUGGCUACCGAAGGAGCUGGUCGAGUACCGAGGAAGACGAAGUCUCGACCGAAAAUGUACAAAAAAAGACAUCUUCGAAACGCAAGUUGUGUUACAUGCAUAUAUCUUCGGUCAAGCAUGAAGAAACACAGAAUUUCACCAAUAUACGGUGGAAUACAUAUCGAAAUUUUCGGCAGCGGCUAGAAUUGAAGGGUGAGUGCAGAGACGUAGCAGAACAUUUUAAGCGUAUUGAGUUGGAGUUUGAUGAAAUUCCCGAGGAUGCGGCUCUCCAUCCCACAUGCUACCGGAGGUUUAUUGACAAGCGGGAAAUUGAACGAGUCACACGGCGUGUCUUGCGAGAGGCAGAGAGGGGAGAUGGCCAACAAGACCCCCGAACUAGCCAGGCUACCUCCGCUUUAUCGGAUGUGACCACCACUCCGACCAGGAAACUGCGAUCCAGAUCAAGCUUGGCCAUCACGAGCUCUGGCCCCGUUCUUCCUUCUGUCUGCAUGAUUUGCAAGAAAGACAGCAAAUGUAUCGUCGCGAGUGGCAGACGUCAAAGAGAACGAAAACACAGACUUUAACCGCAGGCAAGUUGCAGGAAGCAGCCGAAGUAAAGGAAGCCAAGAGCAUCCUCAUUCACAUCAAGGACAGAGACUGUGUGGCUCUGGAGGUGCAGUACCACAGAAGUUGCUACAGAGAGUACACAAGGUUUUUGAGUGAGCCUGUCAGAGCAGAGAAAGAACAGAUUGGGCCAACAUUUGACCUGAGCUACAAGUUAUUCUGCGAGAGGGUAAUCCGCUAAAGGCUACUGAUCAACCAAGAGGUGCUGAGGAUGAGCCAACUGAGGAAGGCCUUUAUUGCCCUUGUGCAGUCAAGUGAAGGUGUUGAUGCUUCAACCUACAGACAGGAUAUAUUGAAGAAGAGGCUCAGUCGUGAUUUUCCUCAGCUAGUGUUCCACACCCCCGCCAAACGCAACACAUCUGAACUGGUUUUUGCUGAGAACUUGUCGACGAAUGCAGUCUUGGACUUGUUACCAUCAGGUGCGGAGACGACUCAGUCCAGCGAAAUGAGCCAGACAGACAGCGACACAGAAAGGAGGAAGUCAAAGCAACCAACCACAGCAGAGGAGACACGGACACUUUACACAGCAGCUUUGCUUUUGAAGAGGCUGCUUAGUCACAGUCCUGGCAUGUCAUGCCCAUGGCCCCCAACUGCAGUAAACUUCAAUCUCACUGAAGUCAUUUGCUGUGGCAUGCGCAAAAGAUGUGUACCUGGAUGCUUUCACACAGUUCAUGAAAAUGCUGGUUCAUGUGUAUGCCACUUGUUUUGAUUUUUUUAUUUGUUGUAUAGUUAUUAGUGAAUAAAUGAAUACAUGAAUACCUGAAUGGUCCUUAUCAUUGAUCAUUAGAUUAUUUCCAUUUAUUAAUGUGAAUAUGAAAAGGUAACCUUAUCAUCCACUUGCAUAAUAGUUGUUGGUGCUAUAAACAAAGCACUGUUACAAUCACUUAGAGGGUUAUCAAUAGCCUGGGUUAUCUAUAGCCUACUUAUUGUAAUUGUUUCCAUUAAUUGCUCAAAACCACAGGAUGAAAUGUCAAUUGCAAAAUUGUGCCUUGUGCUGUAAAUAAAGCACUGUUUAUGAUUUAUUUAGAACUUAUCCCAAUCCAGAGAUAUAUGCAUGAGUAUUAUUUUUGAUAAUUGUUAUUAUAUGUGAACAUGAAAAGGUAACCUUAUCAUCCACUUGCACAAUAGUUGUUGGUGCUAUAAACAAAGCACUGUUUGGAGUUACAAUCACUUAGAGGGUUAUCAAUAGCCUGGGUUAUCUAUAGCCUACUUAUUGCAAUUGUUUCCAUUAAUUGCUCAAAUCCACAGUAUGAAAUGUCAAUAGCAUAAUUAUGCUUUGUUCAGUAAAUAAAGCAUUAUUUAUUAUUUAUUUAGAAUUUGUCCCAAUCCAGAAAUGUAGGCACGAGUAUUAUUUUUGAUAAUUGUUAUUAUAUACCCUCUUCAAAAGGGUAUUUUGGGAGAUUCUUAUAGGUAGGUCAGACAGACGGCUUGUCAUUAUUUUCAGUUUUUCAAACGGCUUGCCACUUUUUCCCCGUAAAUCGGAUACGUGAUUGGUUUAAAACGGUCACAUGGUGUCCAGUGACGUAAAAAUCGUCAUUCCCUACAGAGGGUAAGAUUUCUUAC